rnacentral:rRNA from 1 species
UCAUACAGCCAUGCUCCUCUUGAGCUGUUCUCAUCAGGUGGCAUAGGCUAAGUAUGGUGAGGCCUGGUCAGAAUUUGGAUGGGUGCCACUGACAGAAAACCCAGGCUGCUGCAGGAA